UUAUGUUCAUAAAUGAUUUUAUGCCCAUUUCUUGUGUAUUGAAAGUGGGACAAGCGAGAUAACUCUAAUACUUUUGAGCAGUCUUGUUUUUUGCAACAGCGUCAGUAUCAGAUUGAGUACAAUCAGAGGCAGCGCCAUAUUUGUAUGGAAAUACAAGUUUAUUUUUGAACAAGCAAGUUGGCUUACAGCGUGUCCAGUGCACAAUUAAUACAUUUAAUGGACUUCUGGUGGUGUGAUCUUUUGGAUUUCCAAGGAAUUCAGCACAUUUGUAAGUGUUAAAAGACGAGACUUGAAAUUCGGUCCUGGCACACGUGGAAGGCCUACGUGCGUUCAGAUUUUCCAUCAUUCGUGACCUUUGUUGUCCCAACGAUUUUUGUUUUGUACUGCGUUCUUCCUUCAUCAAGAUGUCUAUAUUAAUAUUUGACUCACACAUUCGACGCUUAUAUCAUUAUGCGAGGAAAUAGAGACAACAUGCUAACAAUUAUAUCUAAUGUACAAAAUGUAGCGAUUUCGGUCAUUGGGAUUAGUGGGGACAGAAUAGGCCGUAGUAUGCAUGGUAUGGACAUUAGAGUGCUAGAAGAGGAGAUUCAAAGAGAAGCUAAUUUUACAUAUUUCGGGAAACGAUAUCGAUCAGCCGCAGGCUGAUGAGGACUCGAGAGCCAGUCCAAGAGUGGGAAAUACAGCAAGGGACCCUUGUGAUCAAGCAUUUAUUUUUACUUAGAACAAGAUGAGUACCGGUAAUAGGCCUACAGACUAUGGGGGUGGUUACAAAGCCAGUUAAUUUACAACAAGAGGAAGUCACAAGUGACACUCCAACAAGCAACAAUCAUUCAAGCCAAUUAGAAGAUGGCAAUUUUACCAAGUAAUUCAGGAAAGAGGACAUUGGCUUAGAAAAAACAUUUUCAACCAUGAUGACAGGAGCAUCUGGUUGUAUCAAGAAGUAGUAAAGUUUUGAUGUAAUUAUGUAUCUAACAAAGUUUGUGUACAAUGCAUAAUAAUAUGGUAUUGAUUUACAAGAGUUGACAUAGUUUCUUUGUAUGUUGGUAAUGUGUUAUUUUUCAUUGUUUGAAUCCAGUUUGUAUGAAUUUUAGGGAUACUUCUAUUGUAAUAAGAUUAAGACUCGCACUUAGGGUUGGGUGGGGAUUACUGCUGAUGACAGUUCAGAUCUGCCUGUCAUUGGCAGUAAGUGGCAUUUUUACCUUACCCCACCUUUGAUGUAAAAAUUUUAUACAGUAAUGUUUUGAUCUAUUUGGAAGUUGCAUGUAGUGAUAUUGGUAUCACUGCAAGGUUUAUAAAUGUAAAUCUAUCAAACUACAUUUUCAUUUUUGUAAUAGUUUUACAAAAUUGUCAUUUGGUAAUAAAUGACCUUUUUCAACUUCAAA